rnacentral:rRNA from 1 species
GGGCCCGCACAAGCGGAGGAACAUGUGGUUUAAUUCGAUGAUACGCGAGGAACCUUACCCGGGUUUGAACGCAUUCGGACAGGGGCGGAAACGUCCUCUUCAGCAAUGACCGUUUGCGAGGUGCUGCAUGGUUGUCGUCAGCUCGUGCCGUGAGGUGUCGGCUUAAGUGCCAUAACGAGCGCAACCCCUAUUGCCAGUUGCCAUCGAGUAAAGUCGGGGACUUUGGCAAGACUGCCGGCGUAAGCUGCGAGGAAGGCGGGGAUGACGUCAAAUCAGCACGGCCCUUACAUCCGGGGCGACACACGUGUUACAAUGGGGGGGACAAAGGGUCGCUACCUGGCAACAGGAUGCUAAUCUCUAAACCCUCUCCCAGUUCGGAUCGGAGUCUGCAACUCGACUCCGUGAAGCUGGAUUCGCUAGUAAUCGCGCAUCAGCCCAUGGCG